CGAAAAGACACUACAGUUCUUUGUUCCCUUCCCAUUUUACUGUGGAGAUGAUCUACCCACAACAGAACAAUGCUCAUUAAUCUUCUUUGCUACCUAGCAGAACAAGGAUGUAAAGCUUCACGUCCCAAGCUGCAAUAUUGCCAAUCUACUGUUAUCUUCCUUGGCCAUUGUCUGUCUCAGGGAACCAGACAUCUCACUCGUGACCGAGUUAGAGCAGUACUGGACAUUCC